rnacentral:rRNA from 1 species
UACGAAGGGGGCUAGCGUUACUCGGAAUGACUGGGCGUAAAGGGCGCGUAGGCGGUUUGCUUAGUUAGGCGUGAAAUUCCUGGGCUCAACCUGGGGGCUGCGCUUAAUACAGGCAGACUAGAGUGUGAAAGAGGGUCGUGGAAUUUCCAGUGUAGAGGUGAAAUUCGUAGAUAUCGGGAGGAACACCGGUGGCGAAGGCGGCGACCUGGGUAGAUACGUGACGCUGAGGUGCGAAAGCGUGGGGAGCAAACAGG